AAUCUGAUUCCAAGCAAUCAUUUCAAUCUCCAUGUUCCAUUUCCAUAGCUGCGACGGGCCUCCAAUCCUCCAACCCAAUUCUUUUUAGAAGACUGAAAGAGUGCAAAGGUUGAUAAUUAAAGAAAGUUGGCAUUGCUGGUUUAUCCUCCAUUUCGACUUUUAUUUUUUGGUUUCGUCCUUGCUGCGACAGGUAUAUAUAUAUUGUUGAAUUUUUCAUAGUACUAAGUGCACUUUCUCCGAAUAUUAUUAUUGUUGCAAAUUUAACUAGUCAAUUGGACAUGUGAGACUUCUCUUGUUGAAUUUUGAUUCCGCUAUAAACUAGUAGAUCUGCUUUUGAAUGUAAUCAAUCUAAUUUUUGUUGUGAAAUCUAAUAUUUAUAGAGUCAUUCGUAGUUAAAUGUUGAAGGUAUUACAAUCAUUCAAAGUAGGAACCUUUAGAAGAAUAUCUCAAUAGUUUUUUCUUGACAAGUAUAUGAAUUCUUGACUAGAUUUUCCAGGAAAAGUCUUUUCUUCUAUUUUAGAAACAUAUGACACCAUCUAGUCAGUUUUCAUUGCUGAAGCGUGAGCAUUUCCAGGAUGCCUAAUAUGUUCCUUCAUUUUUCCUCUUUGACAUUUCGCAAAAGUUCAUUUGAUUGCAGUGCAAAGCUAUCCGCAUAGGGAAGAAGAUUUGUAAGGGGGAAAAAGUAAGUUUCAGUCAUCCUGUGUGUUUUUGUCUUCCUUACUUCUGCUUUUGUCAAUGGAUUCUUGAAUUGUCAUCACGAAUAAAUAGUUAUUUCUUAUACAUCUGAUAUGUUGAAGAUUUGCUUUAUGUUUUUUACAAUGGUUAUAGUGCGUAGAUGAUAUCUGGGGUAGCGAUCGUCUACGCCGUAAGGGUAAGGGGACUUAAUUAAAAUCUCCAACUACUGGUCACUUUCCUCCACAUAUGGGGCCUCCUCCUACUUUUCCUCCUCAGUCAACUUCGUUGCCACCUUUAUUUUUUAUGCCCCACCUGGGCCUGUCCAUAUUUCCGUAUCUUCAGUUGGCACGAAAUCUGGCUCUAACCUUAAUUUUAUUCCCACACCAAAUGUAACUUCUUCUCCCGGUUUUCAUAUUAGUCAAAAAGAUAGCUCUUCAGCACUGCCUACUUCAUCAACUCCAGUAUCUCCGACAUCAAGCACACCUAGAGACUCUACAACAUCACCAUCCAUUGGUAGUGCUACACCAGUAGCUUCUCGGGGUCGACGUGGUAAAGAGACUCUACAAUAUGAUGCAUAUAGUAGGCUGAUUAUCGUUCCGGAUGAGCAAGAUGGGUUUUUCCUGUAUUUACUGCCCCGCAUAUGGUUACAGAGUCUAUGAAGCCACUUUACGAUGAAGCUUGGGGUAGAUGGAAAGACAUCCAUAUCAUACCAGAGAUAGAAUGUGGAAUCAGUUUAGGACUAAGUGUGUGUGGGAGAAACGAUAUGACAAUGAAAUAAAAUAUGUCUUCGAGAAGAAAGCAAAAAAGUUGAUUACAAGUUCAUUGUAUGAAGCUCGAGUAAGGAAGGAGCAGCCUGGUUGGAUAAGAGAUGAUGUGUGGAAUUGUUUUUUAGCAAUAUGGGAUCGAGUUGAAUUUAAGACGAAGAGCGAACAAGAAAAGAAAGCCCGAGCCUCUCAAAAGGGUGGUGUGUGUGUGUGUGUAUAUAUAUAUAUAUAUAUAUAUAUAUAUAUAUAUAUAUAUAUAUAUAUAUAUGUUCAGACUUUGUUAUAUUAGUGUUGAUAUG